ensembl:snRNA U6 U6 spliceosomal RNA
GUGCUCCCUUUGAUUGCACAUAUACUAAAAUUGGUACAAUACAGAGAAGAUUAGCAUGGCCCCUGCACAAGGAAGUCACACAAAUUCAUGAAGUGUUCCAUAUUUUU